rnacentral:rRNA from 1 species
GUGGGGAAUAUUGGACAAUGGGCGCAAGCCUGAUCCAGCCAUGCCGCGUGAGUGAUGAAGGCCCUAGGGUUGUAAAGCUCUUUCACCGAUGAAGAUAAUGACGGUAACCGGAGAAGAAGCCCCGGCUAACUUCGUGCCAGCAGCCGCGGUAAUACGAAGGGGGCUAGCGUUGUUCGGAAUUACUGGGCGUAAAGCGCACGUAGGCGGGUAUUUAAGUCAGGGGUGAAAUCCCAGAGCUCAACUCUGGAACUGCCUUUGAUACUGGGUACCUAGAGUAUGGAAGAGGUAAGUGGAAUUCCGAGUGUAGAGGUGAAAUUCGUAGAUAUUCGGAGGAACACCAGUGGCGAAGGCGGCUUACUGGUCCAUUACUGACGCUGAGGUGCGAAAGCGUGGGGAGCAAACAGGAUUAGAAACCCGGGUAGUCC